rnacentral:rRNA from 1 species
UACGUAGGCAGCGAGCGUUGUUCGGAGUUACUGGGCGUAAAGGGUGUGUAGGCGGUCUCCUAAGUGUGGUGUGAAAUCUCCCGGCUCAACUGGGAGGGUGCGCUACGGACUGGGAGGCUUCGAGUGCGGGAUGGGAGAGUGGAAUUCCUGGUGUAGCGGUGAAAUGCGUAGAUAUCAGGAGGAACACCUGUGGUGUAGACGGCUCUCUGGACCGUAACUGACGCUGAGACACGAAAGCGUGGGUAGCAAACAGG